rnacentral:rRNA from 1 species
CCUACGGGAGGCAGCAGUGGGGAAUAUUGGACAAUGGGGGCAACCCUGAUCCAGCCAUGCCGCGUGUGUGAAGAAGGCCCUCGGGUUGUAAAGCACUUUCAGUGAGGAAGAACGCCUGGUGGUUAAUACCCAUCAGGAAAGACAUCACUCACAGAAGAAGCACCGGCUAACUCCGUGCCAGCAGCCGCGGUAAUACGGAGGGUGCGAGCGUUAAUCGGAAUUACUGGGCGUAAAGCGCGCGUAGGUGGCUUGAUAAGCCGGUUGUGAAAGCCCCGGGCUCAACCUGGGAACGGCAUCCGGAACUGUUAAGCUAGAGUGCAGGAGAGGAAGGUAGAAUUCCCGGUGUAGCGGUGAAAUGCGUAGAGAUCGGGAGGAAUACCAGUGGCGAAGGCGGCCUUCUGGACUGACACUGACACUGAGGUGCGAAAGCGUGGGUAGCAAACAGGAUUAGAUACCCGAGUAGUC